rnacentral:tmRNA from 1 species
GGGGGUGUAAAGGUUUCGACGGGGGUAUAGAAGCAGCAUAAGCGAGCCGUAGUCGCCAAGUCUACGUUAAAAGUGGCCGUUUAAAUAUAAACGCUAAAAAGAAUAAUAAUUUCGCACCUAUGGCACUGGCUGCAUAAGCAGUCUGCCGUGCGUAUCAGCUCCGGUUUACCUGUAGGCCGGUGAUCUGGUAUCGAUCAUACAGGAAAACUCUGCAGCCUUUCCCGGAGCUGCAGGGGACCAACGGGAUAGCAGAUCCGCAAGCCUGCUGAUGGGCGUCCGGACGAGCGAAACGUAAAUCACCAGCUGCGCUCGGAGAAGUUGCCGUGGAAAUGCUUUCGGACAGGAGUUCGACUCUCCUCAUCUCCACCA